ACUCUAGCUGAUCAAUCAUCCGUAACU
rnacentral:sRNA from 1 species